UGCCAGCCGCCGCGGUAAUACGGAGGGUACGAACGUUAAUCGGAAUUACUGGGCGUAAAGCGCGCGUAGGCGGUUUGUUAAGUGGGAUGUGAAAGCCCCGGGCUCAACCUGGGAACUGCAUUCCAAACUGGCAGACUUGAGUAUAGGAGGGGAUAGCAGAAUUUCUGGUGUAGCGGUGAAAUGCGUAGAUAUCAGAAGGAAUACCAAUGGCGAAGGCAGCUAUCUGGACUAAUACUGACACUGAGGCACGAAAGCGUGGGGAGCGAAAGGGAUUAGAUA
rnacentral:rRNA from 1 species